UACGUGUAAAUUUAUUCUUCAAAUGCAUUUCAUAAAAUUCUUUCAACUCGUGGUGAAAUUAAUCGCUUUAUGUCAAACGAGCGUUCCGGUCUAUUUGAUAAUUCUUUCGCAUUGCGUAAGUUAACUGGAAUGCAGGAAGAACGUUGAGAAUCGUAAUUCGUAAAAUGUUAUAGCAAAAAUUCACAAGUCAACCCUCCUAAUCAGUUUUUUUUUUUUUAUAAGUGAAAGAAAAUUUAGUAGAUAUUAAAACACUAGUAACGAAACGCUAGAGCUUAUCAGCUUGCGCUUUCUGCCGCUAGUGUUUCAAUGUCCACAAAUAAUAUAUUUUCAUUUGCGAAAGAAAAAUUAAUUUUAGAGAUAAUUUGAAAACUUCUGUGAUUAUAUCGUUUUAAUUAGAUUCGUAGCGUUAAUAUUAUGUCCUAUUUGACUUCGAAAACUAUGGGAAUGAAUGUUUAAAAACAAAUUUAGUACCAGUACUUUGUCGAUAGAUGACGCUACUCUCAAUGGCGGCAUGUUUAAAACAAAGUAUUCAAUGAUCUGUUUCGUUUACUUGUUGAGUAGAGACCACGAGGAUCACCAUAAACUGGAUCAAAUGCAGAAAAUGAAAAUCUUGUCGGCGUAACUGGAGUCCUUGGAGUUGACAUAGUUGUACUAUUUAACGGAGGUGAACAGGGUGUACUAGUUUUUUUCAAUUGAGGAGGGCACUUAUCAGC